GAGGGUAUGGCUCAAUGGUAGAGUCAUGCCUAGCUUGCGUGAGGUCCUGGGUUCAAUCCCCAGUGCCUCCA
rnacentral:tRNA from 1 species